GGCCGGGCCGUGACGUCACUCGCGGGCAGCGUUCUACGCGGCGGCCUGCCCUGCCGCAGUGCCCGGGCCGGGCGGGCGGGCCUCGUCCUAGAAGUUUCCUUGUUUUCAGCAGUAGAUCAAGUCAAGACGGCUACCAAAUACAUCCCUGAAAAAUGCAGAGUACAUACCCUUCUGUUGCAGCCCAGCCUGCUUGCUGAGUAUUAUCAGCUUCCACCAGCAAGAAAAGAGGAGCCAGGCUAGUGGGGAAUGUGACUUCCCUUUCUUCCCAGCAUCCCCUGCAGGCCACAAAGAGCAGGCAGAAGCGAACUGCAGCUCCCGCGAGCCCCUGAGUCUCGCCCCGCCCCCUCCUCCGAACGCCCGUCACGUGCCCCGAGGCUGCCGCCCCAUUGGACGGGGAGCGAGGGGCCGCGUAGAAAAGCCGGGCGAGGGGCGGUGCCCGGCCUCUGCGCGCAGCACUGGCGGCGGGGUGAG